AUUGGCUGUGAUUUCUUUGUAUAUAAACACCGAAAUGUGUCCAGUGACAUGAUAGUCUAAAUUUAUCACUCUUAUUCUCAGAAACAUAUAAAGAUGCAAAAAAUUUUUGCAGUUUUUCUUAUUUUGCAAAUAGCAACUGUGUUAUGCCAAUCCAGUUGCGAUUCUGUACAUUGUCUCAACCCAUUGGUGUGCAGAGAAAGCUUAAGCUAUUGUAAGGAUCGAUGCAAAUAUGUUGACGGUUCAAUUGGCUGUCCUGCUGCUAAUUUUAUUGGUUGCUACUGUCCUGAUGGAACUUGUAGAAAUGACGAUAAUGAAUGUGUGGAAUAUUAAACAACUAAUUUAGAAAACUUUGUAUCAUUUUAUUUCCAAUUUUCCUAAAAAUUUAUAUAAAUAAUAAAACAAGUAUUAUUUUU